rnacentral:rRNA from 1 species
UACGUAGGGUGCGAGCGUUAAUCGGAAUUACUGGGCGUAAAGCGUGCGCAGGCGGUUUUGUAAGCCAGAUGUGAAAGCCCCGGGCUUAACCUGGGAAUGGCAUUUGGGACUGCAAGGCUUGAGUGCGGCAGAGGAGACUGGAAUUCCUGGUGUAGCAGUGAAAUGCGUAGACAUCAGGAGGAAUACCGAUGGCGAAGGCAGGUCUCUGGGCUGACACUGACGCUCAUGCACGAAAGCGUGGGGAGCAAACAGG